rfam:Gossypium hirsutum cultivar TM-1 chromosome 16, whole genome shotgun sequence
AACCUAUGGUGAUGGCAUCUUCUCAAGAGGUCCAUGUAUCUCUCCCAUGCAUUGUAGAAUGUUUCUAAAUCCAUCUGCAUAAAAGAAGAGAUAUCAUUAAGUAAUUU